rnacentral:rRNA from 1 species
UAAAAUGUAAAAUGUAAAUAUUAAAUUAUUAAAAGUUAUGGUCUUUAAAAUUAAAAAAUUUGGCGGUAUUUUAGUCUUUUCAGAGGAACCUGUCCUAUAAUUGAUAUUCCACGAUUAGAGGUACUUAUUUUAAUAAUUUGUAUAUCAUCGUAAUUGAAUAUUUUUGUAGAAAUUUAAUAUUCAUAAUUUUAUAUUUAAAUAUAAAUCAGAUCAAGGUGCAGUAUAUAAGUAAGAAGAGAUGGGUUACAAUAAAGUUAUUUAUGGUUUUAUAUUUUAAAAAUGUAAAUAAAUAGGAUUUGAUAGUAAUUUUUUUAAUUUUUUAAAAAUGAUUUAGCUCUAAAAUAUGU